rnacentral:rRNA from 1 species
AAACCAACAGGGAUUGCCUUAGUAACGGCGAGUGAAGCGGCAAAAGCUCAAAUUUGAAAUCUGGCGUCUUUGGCGUCCGAGUUGUAAUUUGAAGAUGGCAACUUUGGGUCUGGUGCUUGUCUAAGUUCCUUGGAACAGGACGUCAUAGAGGGUGAGAAUCCCGUAUGAUGAGAGAGCCAGAUCUUUGUAAAGUGCCUUCGAAGAGUCGAGUUGUUUGGGAAUGCAGCUCUAAGUGGGUGGUAAAUUCCAUCUAAAGCUAAAUAUUGGCGAGAGACCGAUAGCGAACAAGUACAGUGAUGGAAAGAUGAAAAGAACUUUGAAAAGAGAGUGAAAAAGUACGUGAAAUUGUUGAAAGGGAAGGGUUUGAGAUCAGACAUGGUAUUUUGUACACCUUCUCUCUCGGGAGGGGGCCUCUGCAGUUUACUGGGCCAGCAUCAGUUUGGACGGUAGGAUAAUGACCAGGGAAUGUGGCUCUUCUUCGGGAGAGUGUUAUAGCCUUGGUUGAUACUGCCAGUCUAGACUGAGGACCGCGUCUUUGACAAGGAUGUUGGCAUAAUGAUCUUAAGCCAC